rnacentral:lncRNA from 1 species
GCCACCCCGGGCCCCACCACUUCUGCCAGCACCGCGGCCACCACUGCAGCUGACCUCUGGGACCUGGAGGGGAAAAGGAGUUCAGGGUCUUGGCUCCUGAAUAAGGAAGCAGUGGUCAGGUUGGCCCUGCCCAGCGCUGUGCUCAAGAUCGCAAUUUUGGGACUGAUGGUCUUCCUCAGGUGGAAGAGAAGCAAAGGUCUGCAGACUAAAGCCAGAACCCCCGCCAGAGGAUCCUUCCAGAAUCUGGAGGAGAAAUACGAGAACAUUGGGAACAAAG